AGGCACACCUGAUGUUUCUUCUAAAAGGCAGUAUCACAGAGGAGUCAAGUCUCAGAGAGGAGUCCAAACGUUGUCUGCACUUUCUUGUUUCAAAUAAAAAGACUGCUCUUUACAAGAAACAUUUAUUUUAUUUCUUCUAUAUUUCUUUGUCACAGAAGUAAAUGUUUGCUAAUUUCCUUAAAAAUAAACAUGGCUAGAAGACAGUGGAUUUCUGUAGAAGAAAUUUGUUUGCCAAAUCAACUUACGGCCCUCUCCACAUGACUGAAGCUCUCUCUAGAUAACUUAC